ACCAGGCGUCGAGCGGCGGACGGGUGAGUAACGCGUAGGAACCUACCUGAUAGAGGGGGAUAGCCCAGAGAAAUUUGGAUUAAUACCGCAUAAUGUCUUAUGACCAAAGGGGGGCUUUUAGCCUCUCGCUAUCAGAUGGGCCUGCGUAAGAUUAGCUUGUUGGUACGGUAAUGGCGUACCAAGGCGACGAUCUUUAGCUGGUCUGAGAGGAUGAUCAGUCACACUGGAACUGAGACACGGUCCAGACUCC
rnacentral:rRNA from 1 species